AGUGAACGCUGGCGGUAGGCCUAACACAUGCAAGUCGAACGGCAGCACAGGAGAGCUUGCUCUCUGGGUGGCGAGUGGCGGACGGGUGAGGAAUACAUCGGAAUCUACUCUGUCGUGGGGGAUAACGUAGGGAAACUUACGCUAAUACCGCAUACGACCUACGGGUGAAAGCAGGGGACCUUCGGGCCUUGCGCGAUUGAAUGAGCCGAUGUCGGAUUAGCUAGUUGGCGGGGUAAAGGCCCACCAAGGCGGCGAUCCGUAGCUGGUCUGAGGGGAUGAUCAGCCACACUGGAACUGAGACACGGUCCAGACUCCUACGGGAGGCAGCAGUGGGGAAUAUUGGACAAUGGGCGCAAGCCUGAUCCAGCCAUACCGCGUGGGUGAAGAAGGCCUUCGGGUUGUAAAGCCCUUCUGUUGGGAAAGAAAUCCAGCUGGCUAAUACCCGGUAGGGAUGACGGUACCCAAAGAAUAAGCACCGGCUAACUUCGUGCCAGCAGCCGCCGUAA
rnacentral:rRNA from 1 species